UUACGGCUAAAGAUAUGUUGAAAAACCGCUUCACGUACGAUCACCAAAGUUAAACAAUGCCGAGCCUGGUCAGUAGCUAGAUGGAUGACCCCUUGGGAAUAGCUGGUGCUC